GCAUCGAUGGUUCAAUGGUAAAAUGCUCGAAUGCCACGCGGGCGGCCCGGGUUCGAUUCCCGGCAGUGCA
rnacentral:tRNA from 1 species